GAUGAACGCUGGCGGCGUGCCUAAUACAUGCAAGUCGAGCGAACAGACGAGGAGCUUGCUCCUCUGACGUUAGCGGCGGACGGGUGAGUAACACGUGGAUAACCUACCUAUAAGACUGGGAUAACUUCGGGAAACCGGAGCUAAUACCGGAUAAUAUUUUGAACCGCAUGGUUCAAUAGUGAAAGACGGUCUUGCUGUCACUUAUAGAUGGAUCCGCGCCGCAUUAGCUAGUUGGUAAGGUAACGGCUUACCAAGGCAACGAUGCGUAGCCGACCUGAGAGGGUGAUCGGCCACACUGGAACUGAGACACGGUCCAGACUCCUACGGGAGGCAGCAGUAGGGAAUCUUCCGCAAUGGGCGAAAGCCUGACGGAGCAACGCCGCGUGAGUGAUGAAGGUCUUCGGAUCGUAAAACUCUGUUAUUAGGGAAGAACAAAUGUGUAAGUAACUAUGCACGUCUUGACGGUACCUAAUCAGAAAGCCACGGCUAACUACGUG
rnacentral:rRNA from 1 species